UUAGGGUUGCAAGUCGAUCUUCCACAAAAUGCAAUGUCAGCCCCUGGCAUUCUGGUUUCUGUUGAAGUUACUUCAGAACUUCCACCUUGGGACUGAAAAGUGAAAACAAUAACCAAAGGAAGGGUGGAAAAGAAGUAAAAAGCUUCUCAUUACUGUAAGCAAAAUACAGAUAAAGAACCCAAAAGAAAAAGUGUAGUUUUCCCAAUACCACUCAGUCACUACAUACUAACCCAGAAACAGACCUUGACGGCAGAAACAGAGCUUUCGCCACAGCUGUCACUGAGAACCCCAUCAAAGUCCAAGGCGCAUAGAUCCCCCAUUUUCUUCUUCCUUUCUGUCUCUCUUUUGCAGCCAACAACCAGCCACCUGCCAAUCCACUUGUCAUAUAUGUCAUCUCGACUCUUGCAUAGCAAAUAGCCAUUAGCCAAUUAGAUUUUUCCUUAAAAAAAAAAAAGAUUAAUCAGGCGGGCAGACAAACGACAUAUCGUGUGAAAAAGAUGACCGGUCGUACAAACAAUCGCGAAUUGGCAUGCCGUUCCAGACAAGUGGAUAGUAAUUAAUUAAUGAAUAAUGAAAGGCAAAAUUCCUUCUCCCCCCAAGCACGCAAGCGCGCGAUUAUGCCAUUUUUAUCUUUUUAAAACCGGUGCUACCAACGAUUUCUUCCACCUGUGCGGAAUUAGAGUAACCAGAUAAAUAAGAUAUUACUAUUAUCCCACAACACGACGUGCUUUACCCACCGUAGCCGGUCAAACCUCUUUCCUCCAUCGACAAAACAACCGGUCCCGCAGGUUACCCCAUUUCCUUGCCCCAGAAUCCCACUAUAAAACUAUAAAGCUUGUUUCUGUAGAAUUCUCCGGGUAGUUAUCAAUCUCAUCAAAACCGUCAUCGUCGUGGUCUCCAAAACCGUUCUCUCGUCUUUGAUCUCUUUCGAUUGUGAUUCUGAAGAUUGAAGACUUGGAGGAUGGCAGCUAAUGAGGAAGGAGAGGAGAAUACUUCUCGUGGAAAUGAGUGGGAAGUUGUAUCACUUACAGCAUCAGCAUACGCUGCUGCUCCUGGUCCAGAAGAAGUUGAACUGAAAGAUGAAAACAAGGAUAAUGCACCCAAAGAGGAAGCAGAAACUUCUCGUGCUUUGUUCAUGUCAGGUCACUUCGUCUUUCCAGCAAGCCAGCAUGAGAAUUUGCCAUUGGAGCCAGAUAAUAGUGAAAUUCUCGAUGAACAAGGCAGGGAGAGUGUUGCAUCUGAACUGGUUGUGGAAGAAGGGGAUAAAUCUGGUGGAAAGGAUGAAGAAAAUUUUAAACUUGAGGAGUUUAAUGUAUCUGAAGAGUUUCAUGGAAUACAGUUUUUUGAUGACAAGGAACAGAGUAUAUACGGUACAGAUACUUUUGGUUCUUUCCACAGUGAAACUGGACUUGGUGGAUCAGCUACAUAUGGGGAGAACCUAGUGAUUCCUGUAGUAAAUGAACAGGCUGAAGAGGAAUUGGAUUACUCCACAGACAUUGUUCACUCUCCAAAGUCUGCUAAAGAUGGUAAAUAUGAUGGGUCUGACCUUCCAUGUGAAGCUUGGUGGAAGAGAAGGGCAGCUUCCUUGUAUACUCAUGUAAAAGAGACAAAUGCAUUUUGGUCCAUUUUCGUUGCAGCGGCAGUAAUGGGCCUUGUAAUUCUUGGCCAGCGCUGGCAACAGGAAAGGUGGCGGGCUUUGCAACUCAAGUGGCAGGCUAGCAUUAAUGAGAAAAGUGGCAGGAUGUUGGGACCUAUAUCACGACUUAAGGAUGUGAUUGUGGGUGGCCAUCGCCGUGGAGCCCUUAUCAGGGGAAGUUCCUCAAAUGAAAAUUAAGAUGAUGAUGAAAAUGUUUAAGGAGAGUGUUUCAGGGUUGUUAUUAUGAUAUUUUGCUGUGUGGUUUGACCUAUUUUUCUCAUGACAAAGCUCUUUUAAGUGCAUGUUAACAAUUUGCGGUGGUGGUGCUUGUGUAAUUAUGGUGGCGUAAUAUUAAUUAUUGGGAAGUCUGGCAGUUUAUUUUUCUUUGGAGAUUGGUCGGUACAUAACUGAGAAUCAAAAUACCCAUCAAUAAUUAAUUAUGCGCCUAUUUCGGCAGUCGCUAAGGCA
rnacentral:misc_RNA from 1 species